AGCAGCCGCGGUAAUUCCAGCUCCAAUAGCGUAUAUAAAGUUGUUGCAGUUAAAAGCUCUAGUUGAAUUUCGGGGGUCAGUUAGGGUUCGGUCCAUGCUGGAUCCGAUGCCCGGUUCACCGGGGGUUAAUGCAAUGGCUUGGUCGUCCAACGUUGCAAAUUUUUCCCUUCCCAUUCCCUUUCUGGGAAGAAUCCGGCAGGAUCGUUGCCUUUAAAAUUUGGGCCAAUUUUGCCAAUUGGGUCGGGGU
rnacentral:rRNA from 1 species